rnacentral:rRNA from 1 species
GUCGGAAUUGCUAGUAAUCGCGGAUCAGCAUGCCGCGGUGAAUACGUUCCCGGGCCUUGUACACACCGCCCGUCACACCAUGGGAGCCGGUAAUACCCGAAGUCAGUAGUCCAACCACGUGAGGACGCUGCCGAAGGUAGGAUUGGCGACUGGGGUGAAGUCGUAACAAGGUACC